rnacentral:rRNA from 1 species
GACGAACGCUGGCGGCGUGCUUAACACAUGCAAGUCGAACGGUGAAAGCGGAGCUUGCUCCGCUGGAUCAGUGGCGAACGGGUGAGUAACACGUGGGCAACCUGCCCCUCACUUCGGGAUAACUCCGGGAAACCGGGGCUAAUACCGGAUAUGACCUCCUUGGGCAUCCUGGGCGGUGGAAAGCUUUUCGGUGAGGGAUGGGCCCGCGGCCUAUCAGCUUGUUGGUGAGGUAGUGGCUCACCAAGGCGACGACGGGUAGCCGGCCUGAGAGGGCGACCGGCCACACUGGGACUGAGACACGGCCCAGACUCCUACGGGAGGCAGCAGUGGGGAAUAUUGCGCAAUGGGCGAAAGCCUGACGCAGCAACGCCGCGUGCGGGAUGACGGCCUUCGGGUUGUAAACCGCUUUCAGCAGGGAAGAAGCCGCAAGGUGACGGUACCUGCAGAUGAAGCACCGGCUAACUACGUGCCAGCAGCCGCCGUAA